GUGUUUAACUUUAGCGUUGCUUCCUGUGCUUGUGCUGCAGCAUCAAGUGAGCGGUCUUGCUUGUGCUCCUUCUCAGUGCGGCAAUAUCACAAACAUAAGCGACCCAUUUCGACUUCCAGAUGAUGCGCCGGAGUGCGCGCGAUCGGAGAUACCAAUUAGUUUGCGAAAAUAGUACCACUCUGCUUCAUUUCAUUUGUUUCCGGGACAUACCGUGUUUCUGACAAUCGACCACCACAAUAGAAUCAUCCGGCUCGGUGAUCCUGCCAUUCGCGACGGCCAUUGCUCCUCCCUCCCUCGCCAUUCCUAUAUCUCUGCAAUUUCAGCCGUAUUCGUUAUCCUUAUGGACGGAAUAACACUGUACGAUGCCGGUAACAAGUUUGAGCACAUUAUUUACUUGGAUUGUAGCGAUCCAGUUGAGAGAUCAGCGAGGGAAAACGAUCAUCCUAAGUUCGUGGGCACGAAUCCCUGCGUCACUGGGGAUCCAGAUCCAGAUCCAGAGGCUAUGCUUAUGCGAUUCUUGGAGACUUUGGAGUGGGCAAUUUGACAGAUCAGUGCCAAAUCAAAAUGGUCGCGACAAUCACAAACGAAGAGGUAUUGAGUUUCCUUCUUGCACAAAAACAACUAUUCCUAUACUGAUGUUCACAGGCCGCUUUCCCAUGGAUUUGAGAUCUCCUGGUCCAAUGGAAUUUGUUCUCCUCGUCUCUGUGAAUCUUUAGGGCGCAAUUGCUUAGAAACUUAUGACGCUAACAAACGCGAGUGCAGGAUAAAGAUCACACCAGCGUUGGACGGGUCGAGUAUACCAUCGUUUUUUUUUUUUUUAAUAUCUUUGGCAUACAAGAUAUCAUUGUUUUUAUCAGGUAAUCAUUGUGUUAUGCUAUAUACAUUUCUCCAAAAUUUUAUGGCAAUUAUUACUCUGUUGUGGAUUUUCAUUCUCAUUUAUAGUUAUGUU